AUUUUCCGGUUGAUCCUGCCGGGACCCGACUGCUAUCAGAGUGGGGCUAAGCCAUGCGAGUCAACGCCGCAAGGCGUGGCAUACGGCUCAGUAACACGUAGUCAACAUGCCCAGGGGACGUGGAUAACCUCGGGAAACUGAGGAUAAACUGCGAUAGGCCAAGGUUUCUGGAAUGGACAAUGGCUGAAACCUAUAUGGCCCCUGGAUUGGACUGCGGCCGAUCAGGCUGUUGGUGGGGUAAUGGCCCACCAAACCAAUAACCGGUACGGGCUUUGAGAGAAGGAGCCCGGAGAUGGGCACUGAGACAAGGGCCCAGGCCCUAUGGGGCGCAGCAGGCGCGAAACCUCUGCAAUAGGCGAAAGCUUGACAGGGUUACUCUGAGUGAUGCCCGCUAAGGGCAUCUUUUGGCACCUCUAAAAAUGGUGCAGAAUAAGGGGUGGGCAAGUCUGGUGUCAGCCGCCGCGGUAAUACCAGCACCCCGAGUGGUCGGGACGAUUAUUGGGCCUAAAGCAUCCGUAGCUUGUUCUGCAAGUCCUCCGUUAAAUCCACCUGCUCAACAGAUGGGCUGCGGAGGAUACUACAGGGCUAGGAGGCGGGAGAGGCAAGCGGUACUUAGUGGGUAGGGGUAAAAUCCACUGAUCCACUGAAGACCACCAGUGGCGAAGGCGGCUUGCCAGAACGCGCUCGACGGUGAGGGAUGAAAGCUGGGGGAGCAAACCGGAUUAGAUACCCGGGUAGUCCCAGCUGUAAACGAUGCAGACUCGGUGAUGGGCUAGCCUUGUGCCAGCCCAGUGCCGCAGGGAAGCCGUUAAGUCUGCCGCCUGGGGAGUACGGUCGCAAGACUGAAACUUAAAGGAAUUGGCGGGGGAGCACCACAAGGGGUGAAGCCUGCGGUUCAAUUGGAGUCAACGCCGGAAAU
rnacentral:rRNA from 1 species